CCAGAAUCACCCAGAAGGAGGAAAAGUCAGCAUUCCCAGCCCGCCCCCAGAGUGAUUCCAGGAGAUUCAGACCCUAUAAGGCAGUGAAGCUCUGUGAACAGCAAAGAUAGAGUUUUGAAAGAUUUCUUGUUCUUGGCGACGUGGGGAUUUCACAAACAGGAAAAACUGCUUUUACUUUUCCUAAAGAGGAACCAUUUAUGCCUCAUGAUGCAUUGAUGCCUGGAACUGGGCUCGCUUUAAAGUAGAGCGGAAAUGUAAGAAAUGCUCUUAGCAGAGGACAAGCAGAGAAAAAAUGGCUCUGCUGUGCAGUUUUAACCUUACUGGUGUGAAUCCUGAGGAAACACGCAGCGUGGGUGUGAGAUGAGGGGAAACCCUAUCGUUACAGCUGCCGAAAGCAAAACAAGACCUAUGAUGUUUCCUAGCUCUUUGUGUAUCAACUCAAGCAGAAGGCAGAAAGAUGUCACAGUGGAGGAGGAUCAACACAACACAUUACUGCUGUGUCAUUACUCAACUCCUAGAGAACACAAUGGAAAACUUCUGAUUAAUGACUUGGAGAGUUGGAGUUAUGUUCAAAAUCCCAAAUGAGAUGAAGUGCUGUGUGGGAACUGCUGAGUCACGGCCUGAACCUCUGAUUGAUCACCUGAGGCGAG